GCCCCUGUGGCGGAAUGGUAGACGCGAGCGACUCAAAAUCGCUUUUCUUCGGAAGUGCCCGUUCGAGUCGGGCCAGGGGCA
rnacentral:tRNA from 1 species